rnacentral:rRNA from 1 species
CGGAGCAACGCCGCGUGAGUGAUGAAGGUUUUCGGAUCGUAAAGCUCUGUUGCCAGGGAAGAACGCUUGGGAGAGUAACUGCUCCCAAGGUGACGGUACCUGAGAAGAAAGCCCCGGCUAACUACGUGCCAGCAGCCGCGGUAAUACGUAGGGGGCAAGCGUUGUCCGGAUUCACUGGGCGUAAAGCGCGUGCAGGUGGCGCGGUAAGUUGGGCGUGAAAUCUCCCGGCUCAACUGGGAGAGGUCGUCCAAUACUACCGUGCUUGAGAGCAGAAGAGGAAGAUGGAAUUCCCGGUGUAGUGGUGAAAUGCGUAGAUAUCGGGAGGAACACCAGUGGCGAAGGCGAUCUUCUGGUCUGUUUCUGACACUCAGACGCGACAGCUAGGGUAGUAAACGGGAUUAGAGACCCCGGUAAUCCUAGCCGUAAACGAUGUGAACUUGGCGUUGGUGGGUUAAACUCCAUCAGUGCCGUAGCAAACGCGAUAAGUUCACCGCCUGGGGACUACGGCCGCAAGGUUA